AACGAACGCUGGCGGCAGGCCUAACACAUGCAAGUCGAACGCCCUAGCAAUAGGGAGUGGCGCACGGGUGCGUAACGCGUGGGAAUAUACCCUUCACUGCGGAAUAACGUUUGGAAACGAACGCUAAUACCGCAUAAUGACUCCGGUCCAAAGAUUUAUCGGUGAAGGAUUAGCCCGCGUUAGAUUAGCUAGUUGGUGAGGUAAUGGCUCACCAAGGCUACGAUCUAUAGCUGGUCUGAGAGGAUGAUCAGCCACACUGGGACUGAGACACGGCCCAGACUCCUACGGGAGGCAGCAGUGAGGAAUAUUGGCCAAUGGGGGCAACCCUGAUCCAGCCAUGCCGCGUGAGUGAAGAAGGCCUUCGGGUUGUAAAGCGCUUUCAGUUGUGAAGAUAAUGACGGUAGCAACAGAAGAAGCCCCGGCUAAAUUCGUGCCAGCAGCCGCGGUAA
rnacentral:rRNA from 1 species